CGUGGAGACAGCAGCUGAGAUUUGCGGUGGAAAAUACAGCAAACAGCUGUCAGGUGCUGCAUGCAUAUAAUCCAGAGUUAUCUACAGAAAACAUAUGCAACAAUUUCUAAACAUGUAGCUGUUCACAAAGAAUUUGAACCAUUCCAGUGUUGACACAGGCAGCAAGUGUAUGGACCAAGUAAAAAGAAUGGAUUUUAUCCCAGAGUACAUGUCUUGAUGGAAAAACUAUGCACCUGCUCAGAAUUACCCUCACAGCCUGGCUUUGUAUGGGAGAAGCUGUAGUUAUUAAAUA